rnacentral:ncRNA from 2 species
GGCCAGCAUCAAGAGUUGGGAUCUCGUAUCCCGACGCCAACCUGCCGGUAUCCGGGCAAGGUGGCGCCUUUGCGCAAGCGAAGGGAUGUGGCCGCAGCGGCAACCAAACGGAGCCAA